AACAAGGUCUCCGUUGGUGAACCAGCGGAGGGAUCAUUAUCGAGUUAUUCAACUCCCAAACCCUAUGUGAACUUACCACUUGUUGCUUCGGCGCGCGCUUCGGCGCCGCCGAGGACACUUAAACUCUUUGUUUUUAUAAGCAUUUCUGAGUGGCCGAAAGGCAAAAAUACAAAUGAAUCAAAACUUUCAACAACGGAUCUCUUGGUUCUGGCAUCGAUGAAGAACGCAGCGAAAUGCGAUAAGUAAUGUGAAUUGCAGAAUUCAGUGAAUCAUCGAAUCUUUGAACGCACAUUGCGCCCGCCAGCAUUCUGGCGGGCAUGCCUGUUCGAGCGUCAUUUCAACCCUCGAGCCCGACUCUUUUGAGGACGGCUCGGCGUUGGGGGACGGCAGACUCCCCCCGGCAUCUCGCCGGGGACGCCGCCCCCGAAAUCUGGUGGCGGCCCUCCGAGGCGACCUCUGCGUAGUAACUUGUUCUCGCACCGGAAAGCUCAGAGCGGCCACGCCGUAAAACCCCAACUUUUUUCAGGUUGACCUCGAAUCAGGUAGGACUACCCGCUGAACUUAAGCAUAUCAAUA
rnacentral:rRNA from 1 species